GCAGGACCUGCGCCCCGCGGUGGGCAAGAAGAUUUGGGGUUUCGCAGUUCCUGGGGUCGGGGGCGGGGGUGAAGUGCCCUCAGAGACCUCGGCGGAGCCCCAGUUGCGCUCCCAUCUCCAGCCCCCACUGGAGAGAGGGGGUCCAGGGCCGUACCCUCCUGCGGCCUGGGCUGCGCUGACCGGAAGUGCCUGUAAGAAGCGCCCUCCGCGGACCGUGCCGGGCGCGGGCAGCUCCAGCCGGGUUGGAGCAAGGCCAAGACGCCCGGAUGGGGCGGGCCGUUUCGGCGGACCCAGUCUGGACGCAGGUGCCAAAGUCCAGGACCAAUGUGGAGACUUGACACUGCGCUAUGCGACUGCGAAUCAUUCUUCUAUUUAUAAGUAACUACAGUAUAGACUUCAACGUGAUUUGGUGAGACCUUAGCAGGAUGACCCUGGACCUCACUUUUCUUAUCUGUAAGGUGGGGAUUAUAAUAGGCAACACACAGAAAUGUAUGUUGUUGAAGGAAAUAAAUUGUGUUAAAUGGCUAGCAAUGUGCACGGAAGACCC
rnacentral:lncRNA from 1 species